GAUGAACGCUGGUGGUAUGCUUAACACAUGCAAGUCGAACGGACUCUUCGGAGUUAGUGGCGGACGGGUGAGUAACGCGUGAGAAUCUGGCUUUGGGUUCGGGACAACCACUGGAAACGGUGGCUAAUACCGGAUGUGCCGAGAGGUAAAAGAGAAAUUGCCUGAAGAUGAGCUCGCGUCUGAUUAGCUAGUUGGUGAGGUAAAGGCUCACCAAGGCAGCGAUCAGUAGCUGGUCUGAGAGGAUGACCAGCCACACUGGGACUGAGACACGGCCCAGACUCCUACGGGAGGCAGCAGUGGGGAAUUUUCCGCAAUGGGCGAAAGCCUGACGGAGCAAUACCGCGUGAGGGAAGAAGGCUCUUGGGUUGUAAACCCCUUUUCUUAGGGAAGAACAAAAUGACGGUACCUAAGGAAUCAGCAUCGGCUAACUCCGUG
rnacentral:rRNA from 1 species